CUUCCAAACUCCAGAUCCUGAAGACACGACUCCAACAAAUGCAGGUCGAUCCAGGAUCGCUGUGGUCGUCGUUGUCGUCACCUUAUUAUUAGUUUUGGCUCUCGCCAGUUUUGCUGCAUAUUUCUCCAGACACAUUUUUCAGAAAGUUAAAAAGCAUCCAGCAGAUGAUGAGAUACAAAAAAC